rnacentral:rRNA from 1 species
UACGUAGGGGGCGAGCGUUGUCCGGAUUUAUUGGGCGUAAAGAGCGUGUAGGCGGCCAGGUAGGUCUGCUGUGAAAACUCGAGGCUCAACCUCGAGACGUCGGCGGAAACCAUCUGGCUAGAGUCCGGAAGAGGAGAGUGGAAUUCCUGGUGUAGCGGUGAAAUGCGCAGAUAUUAGGAAGAACACCGGUGGCGAAGGCGGCUCUCUGGAACGGUACUGACGCUGAGACGCGAAAGCGUGGGGAGCGAACAGG